ACUCCCGGUGAAGCCCGGGGGGUGUGUUGUGUGCGAGGUGUCACUGUGCCGCCGCCGCUCUUCAAACUUCCCAACCGCGGCGGCGAAACGAAACCGAGAGGCGUCCCGGGAGGCUGCCCGGCCGGCCGCCGCCCGCCCCGGCCCCGGCCUCUGCCCCCGGACGGGCAGCGGGCAUCGCACCCCCGCCCGGCUCUCUCAUCCCGGCCACCGAGGCGGGGUGGGGCGGGGCGCGGGUAGGAUCGCCCGAGAGCGCGGUUUAGGGUGGACUUUGUCCCGAGCGGGUCGGGCUUUCAAAGGGAAGCGGCCAUUAAGCGCUGCCCGCCCGGCCGCCCGCGGCAGCGCCCCCGUCCCGGCGGGGCCGCGCUCCCCCGGCACCGCACCGGCACCGCCGCUGCCGUGUUUGUAAGCGAUGCGUUCGAAUUCGUGAUACAAACCGAAACAAACUCAUUCCAAGAAAUCAUUCACUAACCCUCAGCAUGCUGAAAUACCAAGAGCACGUGGAUUUUGGAGCAGCAUUAAGGACUCCCAUUUCCAUCUUUGACGGCUCAGCAGAAUGUUCCUCUUCUUAUAUGGAGAGACACAGCUAUCGUAGCACCAGCAAUUUCUGACCUUUGUCCUUACUAAAUGGAAGGCAUCAUAUCUAAGAAUGAAGUCACACCCCCGCCGAAAGUAUCAGCUGAAAAAAAAAAAUACGGCAACUCAUCUGCUUAGCAACACGGGCGGCCACCACCAUCACUUCCUCCUCAAAUACAAAGUUCAGUGCACGGGCUCCACCCUGACUCAGAGCCGCCUGUAAAAUUGGAUCUCACUCACUGAGAGGUCACGUCUCCUCGCUGUGAACAGGACUUUCCACAGCAGCAAUAUUUCAUGGGAACUUCCCUACACACAGGCAGGGACGGAGGGAGGGAGGGAGGGAGGAAACGCCACCGCAGUCACGGAGUUCACCUGCCGAGGAGGCAAGGGACUGUCUUUCACAUUCCCAUUCGUCUGUCCUUCCAGACAGAUUUUUCAGAGCAGCACAGACCAUGAAACCAAGGACAAUGUGGCAGCUGGGAGCUUACUGGCACUCAGUAAGUGUAAGUGUAAGUGUAAGGAGUCAUCUUUACAUUGUUCUUGAUGACUUACAUAUGCCACCUAUUGAUAAAUCCUAAGAGAGCAUUUUGCAGGAGCACUGCACUGUCCACUGCAAUUUUGUUAGUGAUGCUCUACAAACUCUCUAUAACCAUCUACCCUGACUUCUCCAUGAAACUGAUGAUUUAUAUUUUCUGUAUGAAGUUAAUUUUGAUUUCUGUACUGAUCAUCUGAAGUGGUCACUCCUAGCUUGGUGCAAUAAGACAUUUCAUAAAUGUAUUCUGCAUUACACCAGUCCAGUUUAUUCUUUGUCUUUUUUUACACUGGCUUUAUCAUGGUACUAUCCUGAUGCCUUACAGCAGAGUAAUUUGUGCCAUUUCUUC